GUCUAUAGCUACACCACCCUGAGCACUCCUGAUCUUGGAAGUUAAGCAGGGUCAGCGCUGGUCAGUACUUGGAUGGGAGACAGUGUGUAAGAGGGGAGCACGUGCUGCCC
rnacentral:rRNA from 1 species